AGCGUUGCCUUGUGGCCUAUACGACUUCCGCUUCCUCCUUGGUCCGCCUUCGGCCAGAUUUUCUUCUCCUCAGCCGUUGAGGGCAGCUGUAACCGCGAGCUUUCUUUCGGUGGGAGAGAGAGGGUAAAGACCCGGGAGGGACCUCGCGGAUAGAUUGACUAGCUCCUCGUGACACUCACUCUGCCCUGCACGUGCUCUGUGCGUCCGUUGAAAUCAGCAGUUGCAGGUGCCAUUUCCUGAUGAUCUUCCUGUGACCAUGCUUGAGUCCUUACAUCUGGGUGCUGCACCUUCCCGCACUAGAAGGUCCAGCCGAAGAGGGAACCUGUGGAAACUCUUCCUCAAGAGUUUGAGAAGUGGUGCAAACCAUGGCUGCCGUGGCCACCACGGCAUCACCAGUAUGCAGGGACAUUCGUACUACCUGGAUUGAACCACUUCUAAAAAAUAGACUGGGUCGAUUAGAAGAGUAUUAUAUUGCCUAUUUUCUGGCGGAUCGACAUGCAAAGGUCACAGCGCAGAUAGCAAGAUUUUGUGCAGCAGCUUGUAAAUUGAGAAGGAAACAACUUCCCUGUAACUGAGAUUUUAUAUAAUUUGAUACGGUGCCACUAAGUUAUUGUUUUGAUUUUGUUUUGUUAUGUUGACUUAUGCUUUGUGUGUAUUUUGACUGGUCAUGGACCAUAAUAAACUAUUACUUACUUGCUA